AUUGAACGCUGGCGGCAUGCCUUACACAUGCAAGUCGAACGGCAGCACGGGAGCAAUCCUGGUGGCGAGUGGCGAACGGGUGAGUAAUGUAUCGGAACGUACCUUCAGGUGGGGGAUAACGUAGCGAAAGUUACGCUAAUACCGCAUAUUCUGUGAGCAGGAAAGCAGGGGGUCGCAAGACCUUGCGCUGAUUGAGCGGCCGAUAUCAGAUUAGCUAGUUGGUGAGGUAAAGGCUCACCAAGGCGACGAUCUGUAGCGGGUCUGAGAGGAUGAUCCGCCACACUGGAACUGAGACACGGUCCAGACUCCUACGGGAGGCAGCAGUGGGGAAUUUUGGACAAUGGGCGCAAGCCUGAUCCAGCCAUGCCGCGUGAGUGAAGAAGGCCUUCGGGUUGUAAAGCUCUUUCAGCCGGGAAGAAAACGCAUGGGUUAAUACCCUGUGUGGAUGACGGUACCGGAAUAAGAAGCACCGGCUAACUACGUG
rnacentral:rRNA from 1 species